GACGAACGCUGGCGGCGUGCUUAACACAUGCAAGUCGAACGGAAAGGCCCUGCUUGCAGGGUACUCGAGUGGCGAACGGGUGAGUAACACGUGGGUGAUCUGCACUGCACUUCGGGAUAAGCCUGGGAAACUGGGUCUAAUACCGGAUAUGACCUUCCAUGUGGUGCGGGGGGUGGAAUGAUUUAGCGGUGUGGGAUGAGCCCGCGGCCUAUCAGCUUGCUGGUGGGGUAAUGGCGUACCAAGGCGUCGACGGGUAGCCGGCCUGAGAGGGUGGACGGCCACAUUGGGACUGAGAUACGGCCCAGACUCCUACGGGAGGCAGCAGUGGGGAAUAUUGCACAAUGGGCGGAAGCCUUAUGCAGCGACUCCGCGUGGGGGAUGACGGCCUGCGGGUUGUAAACCUCUUUCGACAGGGACGAAGCUUCGGUGACGGUACCUGUAUAAGAAGCACCGGCUAACUACGUG
rnacentral:rRNA from 1 species